UACGGAAGGUGCGAGCGUUAAUCGGAAUUACUGGGCGUAAAGCGCACGUAGGUGGUUUUAUAAGUCGGAUGUGAAAGCCCCGGGCUCAACCUGGGAAUUGCAUUCGAUACUGGAUGGCUAGAGUUCGGCAGAGGGAAGUGGAAUUUCAGGUGUAGCGGUGAAAUGCGUAGAUAUCUGAAGGAACAUCAGUGGCGAAAGCGACUUCCUGGACCAGAACUGACGAUCAGGCACGAAAGCGUGGGGAGCAAACAGG
rnacentral:rRNA from 1 species